CGGGCCGUCCGACCCGUCGCUGCGCCGCCGGAACCGUGCGGUGUAGAGAAAAGUCCGGACUCGCGAGGGACGGGAGAUAGCUCCCAUUCCAGAAAGGCCGCUUGGGCUAACAACCUGAGGGACGAGUAGGCGCAAGCCUCCGUUACGUCAAGUGCAGCAGAGAGUAGACCAGCCGAUGGCCUGGGGACCGAUCCUCCUGGCACAGGUGAUGGGUGAAAGGGUGGGGUAAGAGCCCACCGGCGGUAUUCCGUGAGGAACCGGCCAGGUAAACUACCGGUGCGAGCAAGCCAAAUUGUCUGAGUAUCCCAGACUGGUAGGCGCGGCUCCUCCAAGGGGAGCCCGGGAUUUCUCCCGGAGAUGGAUGACGGGAUAGAGCAGAAUCCGGCUUACGGGACGGCCCAGCCC
rnacentral:RNase_P_RNA from 1 species